GGGGAAAGCGAGUAGGGACAUUU
rnacentral:miRNA from 1 species